UACCUUAAUUUGAUGGCUAUUAGUAAAGCAA
rnacentral:piRNA from 1 species